rnacentral:rRNA from 1 species
AACAAACGCUGGCGGCGUGCCUAACACAUGCAAGUCGUACGAGAAAGUCCGCUUCGGUGGAUAAGUAAAGUGGCGCACGGGUGAGUAACGCGUGGAUAAUCUACCCUUCAGUCUGGAAUAACUUACCGAAAGGUGAACUAAUACCGGACAAUACUCCAUGACAUAAGUCGUGUAGUCAAAGGAGGCCUCUGCUUGCAAGCUUUCGCUGAAGGAUGAGUCCGCGUACCAUUAGCUAGUUGGUAGGGUAAUGGCCUACCAAGGUUAUGAUGGUUAGCUGGUCUGAGAGGAUGAUCAGCCACACUGGAACUGAGACACGGUCCAGACUCCUACGGGAGGCAGCAGUGAGGAAUAUUGCGCAAUGGGGGCAACCCUGACGCAGCAACGCCGCGUGAGUGAGGAGGGUUUUCGGAUUGUAAAAUCCUGUCAGAUGGGAAGAGGUGCGAGGUGGUUAAUACCCAUUUUGUUUGACGGUACCAUCAGAGGAAGCACCGGCUAACUCCGUGCCAGCAGCCGCCGUAAAAC